UACUGAGGCCCCCACCAGUGACUGUAUCUCUGAUGGGCAUCACACUUCCAGUGGGGUUCUGAGCACUGGCUGGCCGGGAUGUAGCCCCUGGCUCUGAGUGCUGGGAUCAGCUGGUUCUCCUGCAAAUGGGGAGCAGGGAUCUAGGCCAACCAGCCGGCCACAGGGUGUCACUGUUGCUAUUCACCAGUGUCCCAGCAAAGGGCUGCGUCAGCAGCGGCUGGCUGGGAAUGAACCUGGGUGCGAACAGGUCCGAGCUGGACUUGCUGUCGAGUGAUGCCGAUGCAGAGGGGCAGCGCAGGCCCUGGGGGGCUCUCUCACAGACCUGGACUGAGGAGGUGUGUUCGGAUCUGGACCAGACUCCAGGAGCGGUCUAACGCUGAAUCUGGGUGAGGGGUCUGCAUUUGGAUCCAAAGGAGCCAAAAAUCUCCCAAGCUCAUCUCAUGAAAUUUCAGCACAGACAGGUAGAAAAUGUCAUAAGAGGCACUGAAGAAAAUAUUGCAAGAUUUGCCUGAAUGGUGGGGCUCUUGGGAGCUCCACUGUCCUACUGGGAUUUCUGCCAUCUUGGGACAAAGGUACUGAGAACGACAGCUGUAAAAUGGACCCCUUCUGCUGCUGGUUCAAACCUGAAUUCAACACCGUAGGAGCAGGUUCAGAUCCAGGGACUUGAUUCCAUAAACUCCAGCGUACCCUGACAUGCCGAAUGGUUUGGAGUGAAGGUUCCACUCCACUACUGCUUUUUUAAAGGCAAGAUUAGAGAUGUUUGGUAACCCACUGUCUCUUUAAGAAGUGCAAGGGUCAUGUGAUGGCCAGAAGUAGACACACGACCCUUUGAGGCCCAUAAAAAUGAGACCCUACUUUAAGAGGAGUGCUGGGUCCUGCAGGGUAGAAAGACUGCAAUUGCUCUGGUGUGGAGAGGUGAGAAAUGUUGCUUUACCUAUCAGCAUGAUUAGUGGAGCUGGAUGGAAAAGGGGGAUGGAUAAGUUUGAUUAGUGGCAGGAAGUUGAAUACCAAAAAUUCUGGCCAAAAUCCAAAAUAUUUUGGUUUUUAGAAAUGGGUGUUGUAGGUCAGGUGCCUAAUACUCCUAUUUGCCUCUAUAGACUACAUUCUCUGGUUGGACUAUGUUUCCCAUGAUGCACCCUGAUCUUCCGUCUUGGAGAGGUCAUCUAGUGUGUCAUGGGGAGUCCCUGGCUAUGGUGCAACAUGGGAGAUGUAGUUCAUCCAGGAGCCUGGCCCAUAGUGGAAAAUGGAGACACGAGGCAACUGAACUACAAUUCCCAUGAGGCACUGGGAUAGCAUUGUCCAAUUGAAAUAUUUCUGGGUUUGUCCAAAAUAUUUUGGUAUUGGGGUGGUCAGGUUUUUGUUUUUGUUUUUUUCCAAAAACAAAUCAUUUUUUUGUGUGGAAAACAGACACCUUUUGGGAAAAAAUUGUUUCUUGAAAUCCCAGUUUUCUGUCAAAAUAACCAUUUUGGUGGUAAAAUUUUCAAACAGCCCUAAUGGUUGGUUCUUGAUGUGCAUUCACCAUAAGCAAAAAUGACGUGCCUGCUGUUUAGUAGAAGCUAAAUGGGUGUGUGAGUGGCUAUUGCCCAAACUGUCUGGUUAAGCCAAACUCUGUUUUAAUAUGGUACCGGAUGGGAGGAUUAAACAGAAUCGGACUUGAGAGCUAUUCAUGUCUAAAACCGGAAACAGACCCCAAACCAAAACAUCAGUUCACAACAGUGACAGAGCUCAGUUGGCAAGGGUCCCCUGUUCUUUGCAAACAACUCUCAUCUCAGACCUGACAAACUCAGUACACCAAACACGUGUCCUGCAGGGUCUUUAUCCAAAGGCUAACAUGUAAGGUGUCUACAGAAAGCUUGUAAUUUAGCAAGAAUCAUGAUCAUUGUGAGAUGUGUGUAUGGGUAACACUCAAGAAAUCAUGUAACAAUGUUGAAAGUCUGCUUUAUGGUCUUGGAUGCAAAUGUUCGUCACCAAGGGUUAAUGUGUUGUGGUGAUGGCCCAUUCAAGCAGGAGGGAGUUGCCACUCUCGCUGGUUAGCUGGUGAUGUAAUGCGAGGCUCCGACGUCUAGCAAUGCUCCAUCCCAAGGCCAUCAGAGAAUUGCAAACAGUCAAACCCACUUGGAGGUGAACAGGACCAUUACAACAGACCAGGGAUCGCCUGGUCUAUGAACAGAGCCAAAAGACUUAACCCAGAGUUGGGAGAGGCCCUCUGUCUCUGGUCACUGAGGAGACGUCUGGUGGAGAGUGGGUUUGGAAGCUGGGUCCUGUAAAGCCAACCAGCCAGUUGGGCAACAGACUGAACUUUGGGGUGUGGGAGAAAUCUACUUUAUUAGUAAGUGUCGGCCCUACUCUGUGUCUUAUGACUUUGUUUGGUAUCGUAACCACUUGUUUCCAGGUGAAUCUCUAGUCUCUUUUAAAUAAAACUACUUUGGUUGUAUUGACA